rnacentral:rRNA from 1 species
AGUGUUUGAUCCUGGCUCAGGACGAACGCUGGCGGCGUGCCUAACACAUGCAAGUCGAGCGGAGACAGUGAGUAGCUUGCUAUGAGCUGUUUUAGCGGCGGACGGGUGAGUAACGCGUGAGCAACCUUUCCCAGACAGGGGAAUAACACACCGAAAGGUGUACUAAUACCGCAUAAGACCACGGGAUCACAUGGUUCUGGGGUAAAAGAUUUAUCGGUUUGGGGUGGGCUCGCGUCCGAUUAGGUAGUUGGUGAGGUAACGG